rnacentral:rRNA from 1 species
CCUACGGGAGGCAGCAGUGAGGAAUAUUGGUCAAUGGACGAGAGUCUGAACCAGCCAAGUAGCGUGAAGGAUGACUGCCCUAUGGGUUGUAAACUUCUUUUAUAUGGGAAUAAAAUGUUCCACGUGUGGGCUUUUGUAUGUACCAUAUGAAUAAGGAUCGGCUAACUCCGUGCCAGCAGCCGCGGUAAUACGGAGGAUCCGAGCGUUAUCCGGAUUUAUUGGGUUUAAAGGGAGCGUAGGUGGAUUGUUAAGUCAGUUGUGAAAGUUUGCGGCUCAACCGUAAAAUUGCAGUUGAAACUGGCAGUCUUGAGUACAGGAGAGGUGGGCGGAAUGCGUGGUGUAGCGGUGAAAUGCUUAGAUAUCACGAAGAACUCCGAUUGCGAAGGCAGCUCACUGGACUGCAACUGACACUGAGGCUCGAAAGUGUGGGUAUCAAACAGGAUUAGAUACCCCAGUAGUC